rnacentral:rRNA from 1 species
AUUGAACGCUGGCGGCAUGCCUUACACAUGCAAGUCGAACGGUAACAGGUUAAGCUGACGAGUGGCGAACGGGUGAGUAAUAUAUCGGAACGUGCACAGUCGUGGGGGAUAACGUAGCGAAAGCUACGCUAAUACCGCAUACGAUAUACGGAAGAAAGCGGGGGAUGGCAAGACCUCGCGCGAUUGGAGCGGCCGAUAUCAGAUUAGGUUGUUGGUGAGGUAAAAGCUCACCAAGCCUGCGAUCUGUAGCCGGUCUGAGAGGACGACCAGCCACACUGGAACUGAGGCACGGUCCAGACUCCUACGGGAGGCAGCAGUGGGGAAUUUUGGACAAUGGACGCAAGUCUGAUCCAGCAAUGCCGCGUGCAGGACGAAGGCCUUCGGUUUGUAAACUGCUUUUGUACGGAACGAAACGGUGAGCUCUAAUAUAGUUUGCUAAUGACGGUACCGUAAGAAUAAGCACCGGCUAACUACGUGCCAGCCGCCGCCGUAA